GCCGGCGUAGCGCAAUGGUAGCGCGUCGCUUUCCUAUAACCAGCAGGCGAAGGUUGCGAGUUCGAUCCUCGUCGUCGGUA
rfam:Cylindrobasidium torrendii FP15055 ss-10 unplaced genomic scaffold CYLTOscaffold_310, whole genome shotgun sequence.